UCCUGCUCAGGGUAGCACCUGGAGUGUUUCCAGUACUCUACCAGUCUCAGCUACAGGUAGGUGAGUCAAGCAGAGGCCUACCUAUUCCAUUCCUAGCUUGGCCAGUGGUUAGCAAGUGGAAGGCAAUCUGCUACAAGU